rnacentral:rRNA from 1 species
UAGGGAAUCUUCCGCAAUGGACGAAAGUCUGACGGAGCAACGCCGCGUGAGUGAAGAAGGAUUUCGGUUCGUAAAACUCUGUUGUUAGGGAAGAAAAAAUGUAUAGUAACUAUAUACAAAAGAGACGGUACCUAACCAGAAAGCCACGGCUAACUACGUGCCAGCAGCCGCGGUAAUACGUAGGUGGCAAGCGUUGUCCGGAAUUAUUGGGCGUAAAGCGCGCGCAGGUGGUUUAGAAAGUCUGAUGUGAAAGCCCACGGCUCAACCGUGGAGGGUCAUUGGAAACUAAUAAACUUGAGUGCAGGAGAGAAAAGUGGAAUUCCUGGUGUGGCGGUGAAAUGCGUAGAGAUUAGGAGGAACACCGGUGGCGAAAGCGGCUUUUUGGCCUGCAACUGACACUGAGGCGCGAAAGCGUGGGGAGCAAACAG